rnacentral:rRNA from 1 species
GAGUUUGAUCAUGGCUCAGAGUGAACGCUGGCGGCAGGCCUAACACAUGCAAGUCGAGCGGCAGCGCGGGGGCAACCCUGGCGGCGAGCGGCGGACGGGUGAGGAAUGCAUCGGAAUCUACCUCGUUGUGGGGGAUAACCUCGGGAAACCGGGACUAAUACCGCAUACGACCUACGGGUGAAAGUGGGGGACCGCAAGGCCUCACGCGAUGAGAUGAGCCGAUGCCGGAUUAGCUAGUUGGCGGGGUAAAGGCCCACCAAGGCGACGAUCCGUAGCUGGUCUGAGAGGAUGAUCAGCCACACUGGAACUGAGACACGGUCCAGACUCCUACGGGAGGCAGCAGUGGGGAAUAUUGGACAAUGGGCGCAAGCCUGAUCCAGCCAUGCCGCGUGUGUGAAGAAGGCCU